rnacentral:lncRNA from 1 species
AGAACUGCCCCAGGCCGGCCGCCUAGUCCCGCGUGUAUAUCCGGGAGCCGCAGACUCUGAGCAUUCUGUAGAGGGAGGGGGAAUAUUACCCGAAGGAGCUACAGCCACUGAGGCAGCUCCAGAGAUAGGGGCUGCGGAGCAAUCUUCAGGCUCACAGCCCAAGUUCAUAGAUGAGAAACAGCAAGUGACAGAGCAGAGGAACGGCUGGCCCAGCCAAUCCUGGAGCUGCUGUUGCAGCACUUGUUCCCCAAACAAGUGCUCCUACAUUCUGAUGACUCAGUGUAUCGGGAGCCGGGAGAUGGAGCUCUCAGCAGAGUGGCCAGGAUGUUCUGUCAACAUGAAAGCUACAAAAACAGCUCGGGGCUCUGAGCUGAUCCUUAGCCUGGGGUCAUUUUCAGGGAGGGCUGGACAGAGAAGGCGGCCACCGCCCGGGCAUCAGGAUGGGAGCGACACCAGAGGACUCAGGAGAGUGCAGCUUGCUCUGUGAGUGGGUGACAACCUCUUGGCGACUCAGGCUCAGCUGAGGAUGGUGCCAGUGUGCCGGAGACAGCCGUCAUACUGCCGGAUAGAGUGGCUCACUUGCAUGUAUUUGGAACAAAAAAAGGAGAUGCCUGGCAGCCCCGCUCUCUGCAGUGCUGUUGAGCCACCAAUUUUUGUGGUUUUGUGACCACAAGUGCUGACUGAUGCGACAUGACCCCAGUCUUGUCAGUGAAUCAUCACCAGGCUGCUUACUGGAAACUGGAUGCAGCAAGGAAAUAGGAUUUAACCGCUCUCUGCCUCCCAGGAGCCCUGAAAUCAGCAUUCCCAGAGGAAAGAAGAUGGCCAUCUGGGCUUGGCUUCCGGCUCCCCCCAUCUGGCUGGAACACACAUCAGUCACGUUUCCUGCCCAAGCCCUCCGAGCAUUUGAAUGUGCUGUGAGCAGCCUACCUCAGCCUCCUCUCUUUACACAUGAAGACACUGAGGCCCAUUCAGGGCAAGUGGCAGGUCCCUGUUCUCAGAGUUGGGGCCAAGCAGAGAGUAAAGAGUUAAAUUUUAGAAUCCAGGAGUGGGGACCCAGACUGUGGCUUCUGUUAACUCCCUCAGUGGCAGUGGCGUCCUGCUAUGCACAGCCCCUCUGCUGUACUCCGAAUGGUCCCUUACGGGUAGCAGGAGAGACAUUAAAUAAUCACACUGAUGACCAAGUGAGAUAAGUGGUUUUUGAAGGAAAGAACUUGAGGCUGGCGAGGACCACUUAACCUUCUAGCAAGGGCUGGACUCAGGGAGGCUUUCCUGAGCUGCGGGGAGGAUGACAGGUUCCCUGGAGUGGUGGUGGGUGGGGGCGGGGCUGAGGGGUGGUAGCCAAGGGAGGGUGAAGGAGAGUAUUCCAGAAGAGACAACAGCUUAGGCAGGCAGGACCUCGCCAUGGAGGAAGGUGCUUUCUGAUCACUGCGGGACACCUGUGUGAUAGCUCAUAGGGAGGGGGUACUGGUAACUAAAAGUUGAUAAGGAAGAGUGGCUAAAAUGAAAAGCAGAAAAGUGAGAAUCUCAUCAAAUCCCCUCAUUUGACAGGAUUUGGACUCCCAGUAGUAACUGUCCUUAAACACUCACUCCUGACCUUACAACCCUGGCUGUUACCUGGUUAACAAGCCCCAGGUGUUGGCUACAGGUGUCAUCACUGAGAGCCCUUGUGUGCAGAUCUGCCCCAGCUCUCCCACCUGUGACUGAGGCUAGCAAGUCCCCCGUGGGCUGUAGAGCCUAGCGCUGGUGUCAGAAUCGCUUGUUGCAGGUUCAUCUUCAGUGUCUUUCCCACAGCCACAUGCUGGGGAAAGACGGCAAAGGCGCUAGAGGAGCAGGAGAACAAAGCAAGCUGCCCCAGACCACCCGGCUUUCGCAGAACCCAGAUGAUGCUCCUGUCUCCCCCUAAGUAUAACGUGUUAUGUAGUCAGUAUGAUCCCAUUCAGUGCAGAAGUAUCGCCUAGGAAUUUCCUGCCCCACCCACCCUGUUUUGUUCUUAAUGAAGUUCAAGAACAAAAUGAGAUGAUAGUCAAGUUAUGGAGCAGGCUGCAGUGGAUACAAGGGCAGAAACACAGUCUUUGGAGUUAGACCUGGGAUCUGCAUUGAUUGGUUGUGUGACUGCAGACAAGUUAUUUAGCCUCAUUAAGGAUGAAUUUCUUCGCAAAAAUUGGAAUAAUACCUGCCCCAUACGACUGUUGUGAGAAUUAAACACCGCAACUUUUGAUGUUCAAAUUCUAUUUCUUCUCCUUCUAGCAACACAUACUGUUAGUGCCAGGAACCAUAAAAAUUAUAAGGCUGUAUCUAGAGGCCUGAAAGGAAGCUAAAAUAUACAGUGUCUACUCUGUCUCUUUUCUCUUGGUUAUGGUAUCAGAGGAAAUACACAUAUUUUCUUAGCUUCAAACCACCAAAAAAGAUGAUGCAGUAAGGAGAUGGGAAAUCUAAUUUGGAAUACAGUGUGCAAAUCUUAUUUUCAAGCAGACUUUGAAAAUAAAACUCAAUUCUUACGUUAGAGGAUUAUCUGCUUAAUACAAUUAUAGGGUACCAGUUUUUGAAGUCACAUCGGGGUUAAAUAAGAUUGCAGGUUCAUGGGGUCAUAUUUGAAUGUUCUGAUACUUACAUAUGGGGUGGGAAGGAGGAAUGCAUGCUUUUCUCAAGUUAAGACACAUAAAAGAGUUGUCCUGGCCCAGGUGAGACUCGCCUUUGUGUAGCAGCUGGAGCUUCAUUCCACAGGCAGAUAGGGUGCUUGUGUCCUGAUGAAGUAAGAGAAUAUAUCUGGAAACACUUUGUGUACUGUGAAAUACUAUACAAAUGCAGGGCAGUACAAAUGUAAAUAUUAAUGUAUUUUAGUAAUAAUUUUAGCUUUUAUUUCAUCAUAUAUAAUAAUUUGUAGUGACUGGUGUGAAGUUAAAUAGAAUUAACCUAGAAUUAAUGAGUUUUGUAUUGCUCUCAUCUAUUUGAAGCAUCAGCUGUGCCUUUCAUGUUGCCUUGUGCAGCCCUGUGUAACCUCCUCUGUGCCUUUCCCAUGGAGCACUGUGUCAUAUCACAAGUAGAACUACAAGAAGAUAUUUCUCCUCAGGGCAGAGGCUGGGUCUUCCGAUUGAAUCUCCCUUCUUUCUUCAUUGAGAUCCUCUUCUUCUGGAAGCUGGUUUCACAUGGUGGCUUAGAUUUUUCCAUCUUUGUAUCUAGCACCAUUUGAAAUCAGUGUUUUAGGAGUAAGAAUUGCAGCACAGCCAAGGGUGGACUGCAGAGGAACUGCUGCUCAUGGAACUGGCUCCUCUCCUCUUGCCACUUGAGUCUGUUCGAGAAGUCCAGGGAAGAACUUGAAGAGCAAAAUACACUCUUGAGUUUGUUGGGUUUUGGGAGAGGUGACAGUAGAGAAGGGGGUUGUGUUUAAAAUAAACACAGUGGCUUGAGCAGGGGCAGAGGUUGUGAUGCUAUUUCUGUUGACUCCUAGCAGCCAUCACCAGCAUGAAUGUGUUCGUAGGGCCUUUGAGUGUGGCGAUUGUCAUAUUCUGUUGGAUAACAAUGUAUUGGGUGUCGAUUGUCAUGGGGCAGGGGAGAGGGCAGUACACCUGGAGGACCAUUUUGUCCACAUCGACACCAUCAGUCUGCUCUUAGAGGAUGCCCUGGAGUAUUCGGCGUUGAUUGCGGGGCACCCGAAAUCAGACUUGCCACCUGGACUGUCGAGGUGCAGACCCUGGGAGCACCACUGGCCCAUCUCUUACACAGGCUGACCGAUUUCUCCUGGUGUUCAGAGUCUGUUUUUGUCUAGCACCAUUUGAAAUCGGUUAUGAUGUAGGGGGAAAAGCAGCAGCCUCGAAGCCUCAUGCCAACUCUGGGCAGCAGCAGCCUGUGGUUUCCUGGAAGAUGGAUGGGCAGAGAAUAGGGAAGGAAGAUCAUGCUUUUCCCUACUAACUUCUGUAACUGCAUGUAUGAUACAUUAUUGCAGAGGUAAGAGAUAGUUUAAUGGAUUUUUAAAAACAAAUUACUAUAAUUUAUCUGAUGUUCUCUAGUUGCAUUUUGCUGAAAUGUAGUGCUGUUCUAAAUUCUGUAAAUUGAUUGCUGUUGAAUUAUCUUUCUGUUGAGAAGAGUCUAUUCAUGCAUCCUGACCUUAAUAAAUACUAUGUUCAGUUUAUCAUGUCUGUGUUUUUCAUCUAUUAUUUCCCAUUCAUAAUUCUGUGAUGAUAAGAAGUGGGUCCUGAAAAAUUAAUUGGCUGUGCAGAUCUUGCCUACUUCAUAAAGAAUUUGAAGUAGGUUACAGCCAGCCAGACAUUAAAAAUGAAGCCCAUUAAGAGAAGAAUGAAAUUCUAUGAGCCAAGAAAUAAAAUGAGAGAAAAGAUUAGGGAAGAGAAGAAAUGUUGAAGAUCAAGGCUGAGGGAUGCUCCCUACUGAAUGGGAAAACUCCUUAGUUCCACAUGGGCUGUAGACACAGCCCUUCUGCCAGCAACUGUUCCUGCAAGGAACUGGUGCUCAACUAAACAUACUGUCACAUGGUUCCUUGAAGGGGCACAGCACUGAUUUCACUUGCAUUAUAAAAGAUUGAGUGGUGCUUUUGACUAUUAGUUUAUGUCAACACUUCAAAACAAGAUGAGCCAGUUUUUUUUUGUUUUUUUUUUUUGUUUGUUUGUUUGUUUUAGACGGAGUCUCACCCUGUCACCCAGGCUGGAGUGCAAUGGCACUGUCCCCGCUCACUGCAACCUCCGCCUCCCGGGUUCAAGCAAUUCUGCCUCAGCCUUCCGAGUAGCUGGGAUUACAGGCGUGGCACCUCCACGCCCAGCUAAUUUCUGUAUUUUGUAGUAGAGACGGGGUUUCAUCAUGUUGGCCAGGCUUGUCUCGAACUGCUGACCCCGUGAUCCACCCACCUCAGCCUCCCAAAGUGCUGGGAUUACAGGCGUGAACCACCUCGCCUGGCCCAGUGAGCCAGUUUUGUAAAGCUAUUCAGAGAUUAGCCAGAUUUGAUUUGAUAGGGGAUCAAGCUUGUAGGAUCUUCAGGAAGGCGGGCUGUGGCCCCUUGAUCAGGCUUUUUGCACAGGAGGUGCAUGACUAUGAACUACCCUCAGUAGAACUCUUUUAAGCCAGUGGCUUGCAAUAAAUGAUGGCAAAUCAGCCACCUAGGAAGCCAUUUCUAAGCCCAACCCCCUGCCACAGUCUUCCUCUAGAUGGCUGCCCUGCCCAGUGGGCUGAGAGUGGGGGGCGGAAGUAGCAUUUGCUGGGAAGACUUGCCAGUACAUAUGUUGCACCCCCUCACUGCAGCUGCAGUGCUAUUUCAGGCUGUUGAUGGAAGAACCCAUGUUCUAAUCCCCAGGAUGUGGUGGGAAGACCCUAAGUGGUGGUGUUAGUUAAGACCCUAAGUUAUAUUGUUUUGUUCACUUCCCACUGAGAUAGGCUACAAUAGUAUUAAAUACCUAUAGGUCAGACAUUUUUGGGGUCUGUUGUACUACCUACCAAUUAAACAGUUUUUGAUCCGCCCACCACGCUCAAAGCUCCAGCCUAGGUGUUGCAAAUACAGACGACAGAUUUUUGCUCUCAGGAGGCCCUGAUUCCAGUCCUCAAACGAGUAAGUGUGAAAUUGAGUGCAGCAUUAAAGCACAAAAACAAUGAUUUGAGACGUCUUUUCUAUAAAAGAAGUUUAUAGCACUCUCAUUGAAUGCUUAAAUAGUGCCACACUGCUAAGUCGUGAGAAGCAAAAUGUAACUGCGGUGCCUCAAACAGGAUUAUUUUGUUUUAUUCAUUUGGAUGCGGACAGCUCUUUAUCUAAAAUUGCCAUUCUGAGGUGGUUUUGCACAAUAAAUUGGUAAUUAUGUAGACUGUUUCUUCCAGAGACAGCAUCUUGAAUCGGGUUUAUGAAGCCAUGCUAUCAACCUAGGUAGAAAAUGCUUUGUAGGACAUGGGUCCUGCUUAUCUAAAUUUUACCAGAUUUUAUUAGCUGUAAAUUUAUAAGCGGGUCUUGGUGAAUAGAUAAUGAAAAAAAUAUUGAGUGGGGAGGCUUAUUAGACUGACAGCACCUUCAAGACUCAUGCAAGUUGGACUGGAAAAUCCCACCUGUGGAAGUAAAACACUGAUGAGUCCUUAAUAAAUAUGGAUGAGACAAGUCAAAUAUUUGGCCAAUUUAGGUGAAACAGAAAUAAGUCUAGAACUGGACAAUUAUUUGUGUAACAUACUGGCCCAGACCUUCACUUUGAGAAGCUGGUGUGUAGUUUCAGGAGAGUACCUGGCAGACUAGUGUGUCCAUACUUCGAUGGAGCUUGAGAGUUUUCCUUGAACACAAAAGUUGUAUUUUUGAGUUUAUUCUAGUAUGAUGGUGCCCUACCCUAUCUUCCUAUUCAGUUCACCCAAAGAGCCUUUAAAUUAGUGUUCCCUUGGUCCCAUCCCUACAGUCUCUGGUUUUGCUGGUCUGGGAAUGGGUCUGGACAUCACUGUUGUUUUAAAGUUGAGAGCCUCUCUUCUGUGGUCUUGUUCCUAAAACGCUUUACUACUCACUGUGGUCUGAGGGCCCCCAGCACUGGUGUGUUAGUUUCCUGUGGCUGCCCUAAAAAAUUACCACAAACAUGGUGUCUUAAAACAACACACAUUUGUACAGUUACAGAUUCCAGAAGCCUGCAAUCAGCUCACUGGACUGCAAGGGCCACCCGCCCUCUCAGAAGCGCCGGGAGAGAACAGGUUUUCUUGCCUUCUUCAGCUGCUAGAGCUGCGUUCUUUGGCUUGCACCCCCUUCCUCUGUCUUCCAAGCCAGCGGGGCAGUCUUUUGCUUCAGUGGCCAUGUUGUCUUCUGGCACAGUCACAUCUCCCCCUGCCUCCCUCUUAGAAGGACCCUUGUGGUUACAUUUAGGGCCCCCACCUGGAUAAUCCAGGAUAAUCUCCCUAUUUCAAUUUUCUUAAUCUCAUCUGUAAAGACCCUUUUGCCAUAUAAAGUAACAUUCACAGGUUCCAGGUAUUAGGACUUGGAUAUCUUUAGAGGCCAUCAUACAGCCCACCACAAACAGCUCCUUAGGCACUCAUUAGAAAUGCAGAACCUCAGGCCCCAACCGAUACCUUUUGAAUCUUCUGAUUCUAAUUUAAGAAGAUCACCAUGUAACUCACUAGCACACUAAGACUUGAGAAGCACGAUGCUAUGGGAACCUAACCAAAGAAUUCUCAAGUCCCAACUUAAAUACAAAUUUACAGAGUAUUUUUCCUAGGAACGCUUUCAGGUGGAGGAGAUUAAUCAGACGAUAGAUAAUUUUCCUGAACACCAUUCUGAAGUGCUUCUCUAAGCAUUUGUUCCUGAAUUCUCUCUCAAUGAAGCCACAAGCCCCAAACACCAGGAUUACUGUUUACAGGGGUUCCUGUUUACAGUAGUUUAGCACAGGGUUUGCCACACUGCAGCAUAUUAUUAUAGUUUAGUUUUGUAAAAAGCUACAUGAGAGAGGUAAAUCUUAUAAAUGGAGGUGGAGUCUCCUAACACCAGUUUUACCACCUCUGUACAGGUUUCCCUGGGCUAUGUACUAUCGAAUCAGGAAUCAGGAAGGGCGGCUUUUUCAAAUGUUAUCUAUACUUUUGGCAAUUUGUUCAAACGUUCUGCUGGUAUGUGAGAGGGAAGGAAAAAUUGUUUAUUGACCACAGAUCCACAAUAUUAUACUUCUCCUAUACUUAAGCAAUAAGGGACAGCAUUUAAAACUCUUUUAAAAAUGUUAAUCUUGGCUGGGCACAGUGGCUCAUGCCUGGAUCCCCAGUAAUUUGGAACACUGAGGCAGGCAGAUUGCUUGAGGCCAGGAGUUCGAGACUAGCUUGGGCAACAUGCGAGAGCCCGUCUCUACAAAAAAAAAAAAAAAAUACAAAAAUUAUCCAGGCAUGGUGGUGCACACCUGUAGUCCCAGCUGUUGGGGAAAGCUAAGUUGGGAGGAUCCCUUGAACCCAGGAGGUUGAGGCUGCAGUAAGCUGUGAUUGAGCCACUGAGCUCCAGCCUGGGUGACAGAGCGAGAUCCUGUGUCAAAAAAUAAUUUUGAUUUCACGGAAGGAGAAGAGGACUAGUCUUAUACCAUAUCCCAAAUGAAAUUGAAAAUGUCUUCUGGGAAUCACAGCAAUGACUCAAACUUCUGAAUAGUGACUAGGUUUGAGCUGGUAAGGAAGGGAUUGUCAAAUGCCGUGACAGUCCACAGGAGGGCAGCAGUGCUCCGAUUUACAAAGGAUUAGUCAUACUAGUGUAACCUUUUCUGAGUGAGCCUAGAAAUUCUGAUGAAAACAGUGUAGUCCAGGAAAAAAAAAAAAAAAAUCUGUAUGUACAAUCACUCAAUUUUGAAUCAUUUCUGGAAGUUAUUAGACUCCAUGUUAAAUCCUACUUAAGUACAAGUAUGCAAAAUUUAAAAAUAUGCAGAAAAGCUCAUUCUUGGUUAAAAUGUUAGCUGAAAGACAUUACUAAGUUUUAGAAUACCAUAGAGUUGACUAUUUCCCACAAACCCUAAAAUCUACUUGAACACCACAAAUUCAUAUUCCUUCUAAUCCCAAGUCCCUUCAGCAUUCUUACAGAUUUAUUGUUAGUUACCUUACAAAGUAACUAACUGUCCCCAUGUAUUUUAUCCCAAUUUAAAAAAUACAUUACAGUCUCAAGGUCACAUAAGAUUUUCCAAAAUGCUCUAUUCAUAGUCAAUAUAAUUUUCAGGCCGGGUGCGGUGGCUCAUGCCUGUAAUCCCAGCACUUUGGGAGGCCAAGGUGGGCGGAUCACCUGAGGUUGGGAGUUCGAGACCAGCCUGACCAACAUGGAGAAACCCCGUCUCUACUAAAAAUACAAAAUUAGCCAGACGCGGUGGUGCAUGCCUGUAAUCCCAGCUACUCAGGAGGCUGAGUCAGGAGAAUCGCUUGAACCCAGAAGGUGGAAGCUGUGGUGAGCCGAGAUAGUGCCAUUGCACUCCAGCCUGGGCAACAAGAUCGAAACUCCAUCUCAAAAUAUGUGUGUGUGUGUGUGUGUGUGUGUGUGUGUGUGUGUAUAUAUAUAUAUAUAUAUAUACACACACACACAUAUAUAUAUAAUUUUCACCUAGUGUUUUAUUAAACAGAAUGCUUCUGUAUUUUUAUGUUUAUUUGAGACAAUGCUUCUGUAUUUCUAAACAACAGCUAGCCUUGUUCAGUUAGCCAAACAACAAAACCUUAAUUCAAGUCUUCAAUGAAAUUUUCUGAUUUAAUAGGCUGAAUUAAGAAAGCCAUAAUUUUCUUCUAUAAAUAUAAGCCUUUAACUUCUAUCUUUACAAGUUUAUAUAGAAAAAUUUACUGUGGGGCUUGAGAUUUACUAAUGCAUGGGUUUUCAACCUUAGCUGCACUUUGGAAUCAUUUAGGACGCUUGGAAAUCCCUACACCCAAACCACAUCCCAGAUCAAUUACACUAGAAAUCUCUAGGGGUGGGACCCAGGUGUCUGUAAAUAUCCCCCGGUGAUUGCAAUGUGCAGCCAUGGUUGAGAAACACUGAAGCCUGCUCUGAGAAAUUUAGCAAUCCGACUUAAUUCAAAUCUGCAGAGAGAGCAACAAUGAUUUUUGCAGAAACAACCAAAUCCUACUAGUUACAUAAAUUUUAUACUUUGUUAGGACUUGGGUUUUUAUUUAGCUCUACAUAUGCGAUCAUAGGAUGCAGAAGAUAUAUCUUCUACUGGACACGUAUAUAUAGAUGCUUAAAUGUGGCUAUCCCAAGGUUAGGUAAUAAUAAAGACUAUAAGAGCUGGGCAGAAAUCAGGCACAGUUUCAUGAAGGGUAAUAUCUGAGCUGGGCCUUGGAAGAUGCAUAGGAUCUCAACAGGACAGUAGGUGUUUCAAGCAACAAUGAACUAGGAAUACAGCAGAAAGCACAGGGGAAAUGGUCAGGCUUGACUGAGAGUAGGUUAUUUGAAGAAGUGCAAUAGAAAAUGCUUGGGGAAGAAAGUUGGGAUUUAAUUGUAAAAGGUCUUCAAGUAUCAGGCUAAGAAAUGUGGACUUCAUCCAGUAGGUAAUGUGAUGUCACUGGAUAUCUGUGCAGUAUCUAUGUGAUGGGUUGGGAGUGGAGAAGCCUGGGGAUACUUAAGGGUCUGAGCUAGGAGGGACAGGAGGAAUGGCUGUGGGAGUGGAAUGGUUAGAAGAUGGGCCCAAUUAGAAACAUACUUCAAUUUGAGACAAAACCCACUAGAAAUAAACACAUCAUCAUGAAACAUCUCCAAAUGUACAAU